rnacentral:tRNA from 1 species
GCGAGCAUAGUUUAAUGGCAAAAUGUCGUGCUUCCGACCCGAAGUUCCGGGUUCAAUUCCCGGUGCUCGCUCCA